rnacentral:rRNA from 1 species
GACGAACGCUGGCGGCGUGCUUAACACAUGCAAGUCGAACGGAAAGGCCUCUUUCGGGGGGUACUCGAGUGGCGAACGGGUGAGUAACACGUGAGUAACCUGCCCUUGACUUUGGGUUAACUUCCGGAAACUGGGGCUAAUACCGGAUAGGAGCUCCUGCUGCCUGGUGGGGGUUGGAAAGUUUCGGCGGUUGGGGAUGGACUCGCGGCUUAUCCGCUUGUUGGUGGGGUAGUGGCUUACCAAGGCUUUGACGGGUAGCCGGUCAGAGAGGGUGACCGGCCACAUUGGGACUGAGAUACGGCCCAGACUCCUACGGGAGGCAGCAGUGGGGAAUAUUGCACAAUGGGUGGAAGCCUGAUGCAGCAACGCCGUGUGCGGGAUGACGGCCUUCGGGUUGUAAACCGCUUUCGCUCAUGACGAAGCUUUGUGUGACGGUAGUGGGUAAAGAAGCACCGGCUUACUACGUG